rnacentral:rRNA from 1 species
GAUGAACGCUAGCGGCAGGCUUAACACAUGCAAGUCGAGGGGCAGCGGGGUGUAGCAAUACAUCGCCGGCGACCGGCGCACGGGUGCGUAACACGUAUGGAAUCUGCCCUUUACUGGGGGAUAGCCCGGAGAAAUCCGGAUUAAUACCCCAUAACAAGCGAGGUGGCAUCAUCUUGCUUUGAAAGCUCCGGCGGUAAAGGAUGACCAUGCGCCCGAUUAGCUAGUUGGUGAGGUAAUGGCUCACCAAGGCUACGAUCGGUAGGGGGCCUGAGGGGGUUAUCCCCCACACUGGUACUGAGACACGGACCAGACUCCUACGGGAGGCAGCAGUGAGGAAUAUUGCGCAAUGGAGGCAACUCUGACGCAGCCAUGCCGCGUGCAGGAAGAAGGCGCUACGCGUUGUAAACUGCUUUUAUCCGGGAAGAAACCCCAGGACGUGUCCUGGGUUGACGGUACCGGAGGAAUAAGCACCGGCUAACUUCGUGCCAGCAGCCGCGGUAAAGUAGACG